GGCACUACGGUGCUGAAGCAACAAAUGCCCUGCUUCCAGGAAAAGCCUCUAAGCAUCAGGUAACAUCAAAUCGUACCCCAAACCGACACAGGUGGUCAGGUAGAGAAUACCAAGGCGCUUGAGAGAACUCGGGUGAAGGAACUAGGCAAAAUGGUGCCGUAACUUCGGGAGAAGGCACGCUGAUAUGUAGGUGAAGCGACUUGCUCGUGGAGCUGAAAUCAGUCGAAGAUACCAGCUGGCUGCAACUGUUUAUUAAAAACACAGCACUGUGCAAACACGAAAGUGGACGUAUACGGUGUGACGCCUGCCCGGUGCCGGAAGGUUAAUUGAUGGGGUCAGCGCAAGCGAAGCUCUUGAUCGAAGCCCCGGUAAACGGCGGCCGUAACUAUAACGGUCCUAAGGUAGCGAAAUUCCUUGUCGGGUAAGUUCCGACCUGCACGAAUGGCGUAAUGAUGGCCAGGCUGUCUCCACCCGAGACUCAGUGAAAUUGAACUCGCUGUGAAGAUGCAGUGUACCCGCGGCAAGACGGAAAGACCCCGUGAACCUUUACUAUAGCUUGACACUGAACAUUGAGCCUUGAUGUGUAGGAUAGGUGGGAGGCUUUGAAGUGUGGACGCCAGUCUGCAUGGAGCCGACCUUGAAAUACCACCCUUUAAUGUUUGAUGUUCUAACGUUGACCCGUGAUCCGGGUUGCGGACAGUGUCUGGUGGGUAGUUUGACUGGGGCGGUCUCCUCCUAAAGAGUAACGGAGGAGCACGAAGGUUGGCUAAUCCUGGUCGGACAUCAGGAGGUUAGUGCAAUGGCAUAAGCCAGCUUGACUGCGAGCGUGACGGCGCGAGCAGGUGCGAAAGCAGGUCAUAGUGAUCCGGUGGUUCUGAAUGGAAGGGCCAUCGCUCAACGGAUAAAAGGUACUCCGGGGAUAACAGGCUGAUACCGCCCAAGAGUUCAUAUCGACGGCGGUGUUUGGCACCUCGAUGUCGGCUCAUCACAUCCUGGGGCUGAAGUAGGUCCCAAGGGUAUGGCUGUUCGCCAUUUAAAGUGGUACGCGAGCUGGGUUUAGAACGUCGUGAGACAGUUCGGUCCCUAUCUGCCGUGGGCGCUGGAGAACUGAGGGGGGCUGCUCCUAGUACGAGAGGACCGGAGUGGACGCAUCACUGGUGUUCGGGUUGUCAUGCCAAUGGCACUGCCCGGUAGCUAAAUGCGGAAGAGAUAAGUGCUGAAAGCAUCUAAGCACGAAACUUGCCCCGAGAUGAGUUCUCCCUGACUCCUUGAGAGUCCUGAAGGAACGUUGAAGACGACGACGUUGAUAGGCCGGGUGUGUAAGCGCAGCGAUGCGUUGAGCUAACCGGUACUAAUGAACCGUGAGGCUUAACCUUACAACGCCGAAG
rnacentral:rRNA from 1 species